GUGUUUGCUUCAGCAGCACAUAUACUAAAACUGGAACAAUACAGAGUAGAUUAGCAUGCAAAUGCGAAAGGAUGCAUGUAAAUUUGUGACGUGUUCCAUAUAUUU